CUCAUAGUAGCAUGGAAAAAAGGGUGGCUCCAAAGAUUAAUACAGUUAAUACAAGGACUAAGAGGUGAUGGUAACCAGGGGAGAGGAGAAGGAC